AACAUGUCCUUUAGGUGUUUAUAUAAGGUUUAACCUGCCCAAUGAUUGAUUAUUGAAUGGCCGCGGUAUUUUAACCGUGCUAAGGUAGCAUAAUCAUUUGUCUUUUAAUUAAGGGCUAGAAUGAAAGGUUGGACGAGGUAUUAGCUUUCUUUAAUUUAAUUAUUGAAUUUAAUUUUUGAGUCAAAAAGCUUAAAUAUAACUAUGGGACGAGAAGACCCUAUAGAUCUUAACACUAAAUUUUAGUUUUAGUAUUUAGGGAUUGUUUUAUUAAAAUUAGGAUUAAUGUUUGAUUGGGGUGAUUAUAGAAUAAUAACAACUUCUAUUUAAUAUAUAUCAUUAAUUAAUGUUUUGUUGAUCCAAUUUUAUUGAUUAAAAGAUUAAGUUACCUUAGGGAUAACAGCGUAAUUUAAUCGGAGAGUUCAUAUCGAUGAUUAAGUUUGCGACCUCGAUGUUGGAUUAAAAUAAGUAGUAGGCGUAGCAGUUUACUAACUGGGUCUGUUCGACCCUUGAAUUUUUACAUGAUCUGA
rnacentral:rRNA from 1 species